rnacentral:rRNA from 1 species
GACAGAGGGGGCAAGCGUUGCUCGGAAUUACUGGGCGUAAAGGGCGCGUAGGCGGGAUGGCAAGUCGGUCGUGAAAUCCCUCGGCUCAACUGAGGAUCGUCGAUCGAUACUGCCGUUCUUGAGGAUUGCAGAGGAGACUGGAAUUCCAGGUGUAGCGGUGAAAUGCGUAGAUAUCUGGAGGAACACCGGUGGCGAAGGCGGCAUCCUGGACCGACACUGACGCUGAGGCGCGAAAGCUAGGGUAGCAAACGGG